AUGCCCUACGAUGAUCGGUACACACCCUACAUCCAGCAGGCAGGACUCCUCUCGUGGAUUCAGUUGGUCAGCCGGUCCACGCCGAACCUCAACGCUCCACUGGUGUCCCCUCUUGCUGAUCGGUUAAGGCCGGAGACGUACAGUUUCCAUCUUCGGACUGGGGAGAUGAUCGUGACGCUCUAGGAUGUCUCCUUGAUCACCGGUCUUCCUAUCGACGGGAGGCCUCUCUAUAUGAGCACCGAUUCUGAUGGGUGGCGCCAGCAGAUGACUGCUCUUAUCGGUAUGGCUCUUACCGAGGCUGAGGCUGAUGUAGAGGAGGGAGAAGAGAAGAAGAAGAAGGAAAGGAAAGCAGCCAGAGCUGCUUUCACGUGGAUUCAAGCAAACUUUGCGCAUUGCCGUAGUUGA
rnacentral:rRNA from 1 species